rnacentral:rRNA from 1 species
AUUGAACGCUGGCGGCAGGCCUAACACAUGCAAGUCGAGCGGAUGAAGGGAGCUUGCUCCUGGAUUCAGCGGCGGACGGGUGAGUAAUGCCUAGGAAUCUGCCUGGUAGUGGGGGAUAACGUCCGGAAACGGGCGCUAAUACCGCAUACGUCCUGAGGGAGAAAGUGGGGGAUCUUCGGACCUCACGCUAUCAGAUGAGCCUAGGUCGGAUUAGCUAGUUGGUGGGGUAAAGGCCUACCAAGGCGACGAUCCGUAACUGGUCUGAGAGGAUGAUCAGUCACACUGGAACUGAGACACGGUCCAGACUCCUACGGGAGGCAGCAGUGGGGAAUAUUGGACAAUGGGCGAAAGCCUGAUCCAGCCAAGCCGCGUGUGUGAAGAAGGUCUUCGGAUUGUAAAGCACUUUAAGUUGGGAGGAAGGGCAGUAAGUUAAUACCUUGCUGUUUUGACGUUACCAGCAGAAUAAGCACCGGCUAACUUCGUG